rnacentral:ncRNA from 1 species
AACCGCCGUAUACGGAUCCGUACGUACGGUGGUGUGAGAGGUCGGCAGCGUGAGCUGCCUCCUACUCGAU